UUCGUGCAUGUCGGAUGCAUAAUUCAUAGGCUGCAGCAAUUACUCUCGCCCCUCCCCCCGCCCGACAGGGUUUGCAUGGCGGCUAUUUCCAUGCUUAAUUGGGUGAACUAUUCACCCCACCCUUGCAAGCCCGAGCUUGCUUCAUUUGCGCAGCGAACCCCCCAUCUACCGGUAGGCUAGGUGCCUGCUUGAUGCUUGAAUUCCCUCCCCCCCGCGCCCAGUUACUCUGGAAGCUGUGCAAAACGGGGCGGUGAGGUAUUCAUACUUCAUAUAUACUGUAGUGACACUGUCCCCACUUCAUUAUUUGCAGGCUGGGCACGAGGUCGGGGCUUCUUGCACAGGAACAUGGGGGACAGAGGCUGGAGUUUCCCUCAAGCUGCAUUAAAAACUCCUUGGAUUAGCGAGAAGAGGCCACUCAACCCAGGAGGUGACCAGGAAGGGAUCAGAAGGUGCAAGCCAGGUGACCUGUCCCAUUCUGAGCGCACCGACUAUGCCGUGGCUGACAUUAUCCAGCCAAGGGUCCCUGCUGAACCAGGGAUCAAAGGACAACUCUGAGCAACUUCCCUGAGUUUUUCAUCGGUGGAUCUCAAAGCGCUUUACAGAAUGGGAAACUGAGGCACCCGGGCUCCAAAGAGGCUCUGCGGUGCCACAGCUUCGGUGAUCUUAGCAUGAUCCACGCGGGCGCCACAUGGAUGGCACAGCAGCAGCGGAUGGCAAAGGUCCCGUUAUUUUAGCAGGGAAGUUGGGUACUCUCAGCUCUGCAUCUGGACGGCUGUUUUCAGAGCAGGGAAUAACAUAAAACUCCCAGAGAGGAAGCCUCAUUGGUAAAAGUAACAGAGCUGUAAACUAAGGGUGUGUCAUCACAGGGGUCUGUGCACCCAGGAUUGGGGCCCAUCGUUUCCUGGGAUCGAAUAGCCUCGCAUUGCAUGGGCCUGUGGCUAUGAUUCUUCGGACGUGGCUACACGAGAGAGAUGCACCAGUGGGUUUUACAACCAAUGUAGUGAAAUCGGUGCAGAUCUGUGUAUGGACGCUCUUACUUCAGUUUGACGGCGGCUUACUUGGGAGGCCAGGUGGCCUAGUGGACAGAGACUGGGACGCAGGAGACCUAUAUGUUCUAUUCCCGGCUCUGCUGCUGGGUGACCUUGCGCAAGUCACUGCCCUUCUCUGUGUCUCAGUUUCCCCAUCUGUAAAAUGGGGAUCAUGAUACUGACAUUGUUUUUAAAGCACUUUGAGCUCGACUGAUGAAAACCUGUAUAAGAGCUUGGUACAGAAAACUUGACAAUGCUGCUGAGACCACAGCCUAUCAUGCUAAGCAAUAUUGUCCUUGUACUCCCAUGCCUGCAGUUGUCUCAUGUCUUAUACUUAGAUUGUAAGCUCCUUGGGGGCAGGGACUGUCCCUUUGUUCUGUGUUUGUACAGCACCCAGCGCAGUGGGAUUCUCCAUCACUGGUCCUACAAAUAAUAAUGGCAAUAAUAUUUAAUAAGAAGCUCAAUCUUAUAUAAGCCACUCAGACUGAAAUAGGGGCAUCUCCACUGCAGUUUGCCCCAGUCUUAAUCAGUUUACAUUUAUACCUGUGGUUUAACUGCUGCACCUUCCCCCUGCAGACCAGCUCUUACUACAACCCAACGUGUCCAAACCAUUAAAAAAAGUUACUGCACUUAA